CGGAGGGUGCGAGCGUUGUCCGGAAUCACUGGGCGUAAAGGGCGCGUAGGCGGCUUGGCAAGUCGAUGGUGAAAGCCCGGGGCUCAACUUCGGGUCGGCCACUGAUACUGCUAGGCUUGAGUCGACUAGAGGCUAAUGGAAUUCCGGGUGUAGCGGUGGAAUGCGUAGAGAUCCGGAAGAACACCGGUGGCGAAGGCGGUUAGCUGGGGUCGAACUGACGCUGAGGCGCGACAGCGUGGGGAGCAAACAGGAUUAGAUACCCUGGUAGUCCACGCCGUAAACGAUGGGUACUAGGUGUAGGGGGUAUCGACUCCCUCUGUGCCGCAGUUAACACAAUAAGUACCCCGCCUGGGGAGUACGGUCGCAAGAUUA
rnacentral:rRNA from 1 species